AAAUAAAAACGCGAUUUUCCAUGAUGCAGCACUUGCCUGAGACGGAUCAGUGUGUGUGAAGGACUUCAAUAAAUAGCACAGCGGGUUUCCAGAGGAAGGAGAAACGUUUCGACCUUUGCAAUCAAAAGAACUGGGCUUUGAUAGUUUUAUCAUCUUAAAUGUCACUAUGGAAAUAUAUUUUUGGUAGAAGUGUUUGAUAUUGAAAUUGCCUUUCCAACAAAACAGUAUUUCCAAGGGGACUUUGUCAUCAAAAUGCAUUUCUUAUUAAGUUAUUAUAAUGAUGACCGCUAAACACCUAAUUUUAGCAUGGUUUAUGAUAACUCAUGCCAACCUAAGAAUAUUAGUCUUUGAUAUUUUGGUUAUCAAAUGUGGUUUGAUUUAACGCUGUUUUAAAGAAUUGAUAAUGUUGCUUAGUGAGCAGUUUAUCUACAUUUGACUUUUAAGGAUUCUAGGUAAGUAAAUUCUUAAAUAAAAUUGUAAUUAUAAUACAACACGGCACAAUGUCCUUGAUCUUCACCAGUUCUUUAAGUGUUCGUUUCAGUCUUGCAUGGAACCACUUUAGAUGUUGCAGGGUAAAAAUCAUUUCAUACAUUAAGAAAGUUCAAGACUAUUUGUGUGUUCCAGGUUCUUUGACAUAUGCUUGUUUUACUGAACUUAGAAAUGUAGUGUCUUUCAAAAUGGAGUUUUGGAAAUCUUUAGAACUGGUGAAAAAAAAUUAUGAAAUAAUUCUUGUGGAAACUAAAACUUAGCAGGUAGAAAGAAUAUUUCAGAGGGAGGCAGCAAUACAUCCCGAUAAUGGAAGACUAGGCCUCCUCCUGUACUAGCUUUAUCCUCUAAAUUCUCUAUGUUGCCAUUUGCAACUUACUCUCUUGUCAAAGGGAUAGUGCAGGCUUUCAUUUUGUGGAAAUGUGAUAAUAAGGUAUAAGUGGAAGAGUGAACAUUUUGAGAACCAUUGACUCACUAAAUGAAUAUGUAAAGCAAGUCAAAUUGAGUAGUAAUGCUAUUUUUUUUUUCAUAUCCUAAAGGCUGGCAAUAUGUCAUAGGUUAAGUGCACCAUUUUGAAAUGGAAAAGAUACGCUUUGGAGUCAGGUGUCAUCGACAUGAAUCUUGCUUGUCUGGGAGGUACCAACUGAAGUCAAAGCCAGGAGGAGGAAGUGUGCCAAUAACAGUGGAUGUUGCUGUGGAGGUGCAUUCAGUUUGGGACUUGACAGGGCAAAAAGGGAACACAUGUGACUUCCAUACAGGAGAGCAAAGGUUUCUUGAUGUUGAAUUUCUAUUGAGAAAAAGUAAACAUCUGAAAAACUCCAACUUGAACUCUCUACUGUAACUUACUGUCCUUUGUGAAAUGACUUCAACAAUAGUUAUACGGUAAAUUGAGUGUUGGGCUU